UUUUCAGGGCUUGAAAGAUAAGAAAUUGAAGGGUCAACUUGCUGUUAGAGAAGAAUUGUAUGGAAAAUCUGCACAAGCUGCUGCCAAGGCUGAGAAGAAUUAUCAGUGGCUUCUACCAAGUGAGGGAGGCUAUUUGGAGACUGAAGGCAUAGAGAAGACAUGGAGGAUCAAACAAUAAUCAAUUGCUCUGCACCUAUCAAUGCCGCCAAAUGGCUUCAAUAAAAUCAACACCCACAACUGGAGAAGUCAAGAAGCCUGACUGCUACCGCCCUGGAAUCGUCGCUCUUCGUUUGAUCAAAUCGGGUUGAAUUGAAUAAUCCUUGAAGUGACAAGAAGGAACUGACUAAGCAAGUUUGCACCAAGCCAGUGAAGGAAUCAGGGGAACGGAGCUCAGACUGUCAGAGAUGAUGGAAAUUGACCCCGAGUUCAAACUGAAACGAUAUGAUUAUUUUCGUUAUGCACAAUGCAUUUAUGAAAUUUCUCAUUUUGAUGAGUGGGAUCGCCAGUUUCCUCCACCUUUUAUGUCGCUCACCGCUUCACUGCAAAUAAGAUUAAACCAGAUCCCUUCCAAGUUUCAGCCACCGCUACCACCAGGACCUCAGCUAUCUUUCCAUUGUUUCUCAAAACUUUCAUAUUGAGGCUGCUCAGAAGGAAUUGAGGAGGAGAGGGAAGGUUUUGGCAUCAAAAAAGUCAUCUUGGAUGGCUGCUGAGGGCUUGCUGGCUCUGGCUCAGAAUGAGAACAAGGCUGUUAUUAUUGAACUUAACUGUGAGACUGAUUUUGUUGCUCGAUAUCUUUCAAUACUUGGUAAGUGUGACUGAUAUGAUUCCUCCAUAUUUUUUUAGUUCUAUUUGAUUAGUUGCUAUUAUAAGUAUAUGGUUGCGUACUUAAUUUCAGUCGUCCUUUUUUCCCCUUAUUUCUUCUUCCUUUGCUUUGCUUUUGCUGCUUCUUCUUCUUCUUCCCCCUUUUUUCCCCCCUCUCUUGCUUUAUUUCUUCCGAUAUUUUCUCUCUCUCUUACUCUCUUCAAAAUCCCACAACAGUCUUUGGAGUUGGAGGCUUUUGCUCUGUUGGGUUUUUUUCCAAUAACUCAAAGGGCCGAAAGGUAUUCCCUUUUCAUAUUCUUCUCUCCCAAUUUCUUUAGGGUUAAUUUCAAUUUUCUUAUGCCAUUUGCAAGGUGCUUUUUAGGGUUUAACUAUUUGAUUUCACAGAUUCAUUACAGACACAGUAAAUAGGUACAUUUUAAAUUCGUAUUUCAUAACUUGGUUGCUUGAUAGUACUGCCACUGUUCAUUGGCUUCUCCUACGAGACAGCAGGGGUAUGCAGAGAUCAUAAUAGAUGGGGGUUUUUUUUUUUUAAUAUCUUUUACAUAAUGCUCUUAAAUUUCAACAUCUUAUUUAUAACAAUGUUGCCAAAAUGCAUUCUGAUUAUCAGGUAUAUCACUAUGGAAGAACUAGAGCAAGUCCUCCACGAGUAUGGCUUACAUGGUGAAUUUUAAUCUUUCCAGGU